CGGCAUGCUUUACACAUGCAAGUCGAACGGUAACAGGUCUUCGGAUGCUGACGAGUGGCGAACGGGUGGAGUAAUGCAUCGGAACGUGCCCAGUCGUGGGGGGAGUAACGCAGCGAAAGCUGUGCUAAUACCGCAUACGAUCUAUGGAUGAAAGCGGGGGAUCGCAAGACCUCGCGCGAUUGGAGCGGCCGAUGUCAGAUUAGCUAGUUGGUGGGGUAAAGGCCCACCAAGGCGACGAUCUGUAGCUGGUCUGAGAGGACGACCAGCCACACUGGGACUGAGACACGGCCCAGACUCCUACGGGAGGCAGCAGUGGGGAAUUUUGGACAAUGGGGGCAACCCUGAUCCAGCAAUGCCGCGUGAGUGAAGAAGGCCUUCGGGUUGUAAAGCUCUUUUGUCAGGGAAGAAACAGCAGCUCUAACACAGUCUGCGAAUGACGGUACCUGAAGAAUAAGCACCGGCUAACUACGUG
rnacentral:rRNA from 1 species